UGCUAUGGCCAUACCACCCUGAACGGGCCCAAUUUCAUCUGAUCUUGGAAGCUAAGCAGGGUCAGGCCUGGUUAGUAUUUGGAUGGCAGAUUUCCCCUCUCUCCACAUCCUUACAAUCAUUUAUUUACUGUAUUUU
rnacentral:rRNA from 1 species